rfam:Asian citrus Psyllid, Diaphorina citri - Florida Strain, whole genome shotgun sequence.
GCCUAGUUAGCUUAGUUGGUAGUGCGUCUGCCUUGUAAGCGCUAGGCCGCGGGUUCGAUUCCCGGCCGGGGCG